rnacentral:rRNA from 1 species
UGGGGAAUAUUGGGCAAUGGGGGAAACCCUGACCCAGCAACGCCGCGUGAAGGAAGAAGGCUUUCGGGUUGUAAACUUCUUUGACGAGGGACGAAAUAAAUGACGGUACCUCGAAAACAAGCCACGGCUAACUACGUGCCAGCAGCCGCGGUAAUACGUAGGUGGCAAGCGUUGUCCGGAUUUACUGGGUGUAAAGGGCGCGUAGGCGGGAUUACAAGUCAGAUGUGAAAUGCCAGGGCUUAACCCUGGAGCUGCAUUUGAAACUGUAGUUCUUGAGUAUCGGAGAGGCAGGCGGAAUUCCUAGUGUAGCGGUGAAAUGCGUAGAUAUCAGGAGGAACACCGGUGGCGAAGGCGAUUUCCUGGCCCUAUACUGACGCUGAGACGCGAGAGCGUGGGUAGCAAACA